CACGUAGGGCGCGAGCGUUGUCCGGAAUUAUUGGGCGUAAAGAGCUCGUAGGCGGCCUGUUGCGUCCGCUGUGAAAGCCCGGGGCUUAACCCCGGGUCUGCAGUGGAUACGGGCAGGCUAGAGGUAGGUAGGGGAGAAUGGAAUUCCCGGUGUAGCGGUGAAAUGCGCAGAUAUCGGGAGGAACACCGGUGGCGAAGGCGGUUCUCUGGGCCGUUACUGGCGCUGAGGAGCGAAAGCGUGGGGAGCGAACAGG
rnacentral:rRNA from 1 species